rnacentral:rRNA from 1 species
UAUUGGACAAUGGGCGCAAGCCUGAUCCAGCCAUGCCGCGUGUGUGAAGAAGGCCUUCGGGUUGUAAAGCACUUUCAGUGGUGAGGAAGGGGAGUACGUUAAUAGCGUGCUUCAUUGACGUUAGCCACAGAAGAAGCACCGGCUAACUCCGUGCCAGCAGCCGCGGUAAUACGGAGGGUGCAAGCGUUAAUCGGAAUUACUGGGCGUAAAGCGCACGUAGGCGGUUUGUUAAGCAAGAUGUGAAAGCCCAGGGCUCAACCUUGGAAUAGCAUUUUGAACUGGCAGACUAGAGUUUUGAAGAGGGUGGUAGAAUUUCCAGUGUAGCGGUGAAAUGCGUAGAUAUUGGAAGGAAUACCAGUGGCGAAGGCGGCCACCUGGUCAAAAACUGACGCUGAGAGCGAAA